ACGGCUCAGUAACACGUGGACAACCUACCCAAGAGUCAGGGAUAACCCCGGGAAACUGGGGAUAAUACCUGAUAGGCCACGACAUCUGGAAUCGAGUCGUGGUUUAAACGUAAGGCUCUUGGAUGGGUCUGCGGCGGAUUAGGUUGUUGCCGGUGUAACGUACCAGCAAGCCUGUAAUCCGUACGGGUUGUGGGAGCAAGAGCCCGGAGAUGGAUUCUGAGACACGAAUCCAGGCCCUACGGGGCGCAGCAGGCGCGAAAACUCUACAAUGCAGGCAACUGCGAUAGGGGAACAUCGAGUGGCACCCACCAUGGGUGUCUGUCCAAUCGUCUAAAAAACGAUUGUCAGCAAGGGCCGGGCAAGACCGGUGCCAGCCGCCGCGGUAAUACCGGCGGCUCGAGUGGUGGCCGAUAUUAUUGAGUCUAAAGGGUCCGUAGCCGGCUUUGCAAGUCCCCUGGGAAAUCCAGCGGCUUAACCGUUGGGCUUUCAUGGGAUACUACAUUGCUUGGGACUGGGAGAGGUAGGAGGUACUCAGGGGGUAGGGGUGAAAUCCUGUAAUCCUUUGGGGACCACCGGUGGCGAAGGCGUCCUACCAGAACAGGUCCGACGGUGAGGGACGAAAGCUAGGGGCACGAACCGGAUUAGAUACCCGGGUAGUCCUAGCCGUAAACGAUGCUCGCUAGGUGUCACGGCAGUCGUGAAUUGUCGUGGUGCCGUAGGGAAGCCGUGAAGCGAGCCACUUGGGAAGUACGACCGCAAGGUUGAAACUUAAAGGAAUUGGCGGGGGAGCAC
rnacentral:rRNA from 1 species